AAUGAACGCUGGCGGUAGGCUUAACACAUGCAAGUCGGACGGAAACGACAAAGACAAUCACUUCGGUGUGCGACUUUGGGCGUCGAGUGGCGGACGGGUGAGUAACGCGUGGGAAUCUACCCUGUAGUUGGGGACAACAUAUGGAAACGUAUGCUAAUACCGAAUAUGCUCUACGGAGUAAAGGUGCCCUCUCCUUGGAAGGUAUCGCUAUAGGAUGAGCCCGCGUAAGAUUAGCUAGUUGGUAGGUAAUGGCUUACCAAGGCGACGAUCUUUAGCCGGUUUGAGAGGAUGAUCAGCCACACUGGGACUGAGACACGGCCCAGACUCCUACGGGAGGCAGCAGUGGGGAAUAUUGCACAAUGGGGGAAGCCCUGAUGCAGCCAUACCGCGUGUGUGAAGAAGGCCCGAGGGUUGUAAAGCACUUUCAAUUGUGAGGAAGGUAGUGUAGUUAAUACCUGCAUUGAUUGACGUUACUUUAGAAGAAGCACCGGCUAACUCUGUGCCAGCAGCCGCGGUAAUACAGAGGGUGCAAGCGUUAUUCGGAAUUACCGGGCGUAAAGCGCGCGUAGGCGGAAUAUUAAGUCAGUUGUGAAAGCCCUGGGCUCAACCUGGGAACUGCAUCUGAUACUGGUAUUCUAGAGUUUGGUAGAGAAAGUGGAAUUCCUAGUGUACAGUGAAAUGCGUAAUUUUAGGAAGGAACAUCUAGUGG
rnacentral:rRNA from 1 species